rnacentral:rRNA from 1 species
AACGAACGCUGGCGGCAUGCCUAACACAUGCAAGUCGAACGAGACCUUCGGGUCUAGUGGCGCACGGGUGCGUAACGCGUGGGAACCUGCCCUUAGGCUCGGAAUAACUCCCCGACAGGGGUGCUAAUGCCGGAUAAUGUCUUCGGACCAAAGAUUUAUCGCCUUUGGGUGGGCCCGCGUUGGAUUAGCUAGUUGGUAGGGUAAAAGCCUACCAAGGCGACGAUCCAUAGCUGGUCUGAGAGGAUGAUCAGCCACACUGGGACUGAGACACGGCCCAGACUCCUACGGGAGGCAGCAGUGGGGAAUAUUGGACAAUGGGCGAAAGCCUGAUCCAGCAAUGCCGCGUGAGUGAUGAAGGCCUUAGGGUUGUAAAGCUCUUUUACCCGGGAUGAUAAUGACAGUACCGGGAGAAUAAGCUCCGGCUAACUCCGUG